rnacentral:rRNA from 1 species
CCUACGGGAGGCAGCAGUGGGGAAUUUUGCGCAAUGGGGGAAACCCUGACGCAGCAACGCCGCGUGAGUGAUGAAGGCCUUCGGGUCGUAAAGCUCUGUCAGAGGGGAAGAAGUGCAUGGGCGCUAAUAUCGCAUAUGCUUGACGGUACCCUCAAAGGAAGCACCGGCUAACUCCGUGCCAGCAGCCGCGGUAAUACGGAGGGUGCGAGCGUUGUUCGGAAUUAUUGGGCGUAAAGCGCGUGUAGGCGGUUUUUUAAGUCUGAUGUGAAAGCCCUGGGCUCAACCCGGGAAGUGCAUUGGAAACUGGGAGACUUGAAUACGGGAGAGGGCAGUGGAAUUCCUGGUGUAGGAGUGAAAUCCGUAGAUAUCAGGAGGAACACCGGUGGCGAAGGCGGCUGCCUGGACCGAUAUUGACGCUGAGACGCGAAAGCGUGGGGAGCAAACAGGAUUAGAUACCCUGGUAG